rnacentral:ncRNA from 1 species
AUUAAGCCAUGCAUGUGUAAGUAUGAACUAAUUCAGACUGUGAAACUACGAAUGGCUCAUUAAAUCAGUUAUAAUUUGUUUGAUGGUACCUGCUACUCAGAUAACCGUAGUAAUUCUAGAGCUAAUACGUACAACAAACCUCGACUUCCGGAAGGGGACGCAUUUAUUUAUUAGAUAAAAGGCCGACGCGGGCUCGUCCCGCAAACCGAUGAUUCACACAAAUGGUCAACAAUUUAUUGAUUGACCAUUUGUCUUUAUGUGUGUUGUAAGAGAUCUGAAAUGAUCCAUAUUUAGAUGGCAAGGAGUUCAAAAUAAGAUGUAUCAAGAAUGAAUCAGAGAUGGUUACUUCAAGUGCAGUAAGCU